GACGAACGCUGGCGGCGUGCCUAACACAUGCAAGUCGAACGGAGUUAAGUGCUUCGGCAUUUAACUUAGUGGCGAACGGGUGAGUAACGCGUGAGAAACCUGCCUUUCAGUGGGGGACAACAGUUGGAAACGACUGCUAAUACCGCAUGAUACUUUUUGGGGGCAUCCCUAAAAAGUCAAAGCUUUAUGUGCUGAAAGAUGGUCUCGCGUCUGAUUAGCUGGUUGGCGGGGUAACGGCCCACCAAGGCGACGAUCAGUAGCCGGUCUGAGAGGAUGAACGGCCACAUUGGGACUGAGAUACGGCCCAG
rnacentral:rRNA from 1 species